AUUGAACGCCGGCGGCAGGCCUAACACAUGCAAGUCGAACGGUAGCACAGAGAGCUUGCUCUCGGGUGACGAGUGGCGGACGGGUGAGUAACGUCUGGGAAACUGCCCGAUGGAGGGGGAUAACUACUGGAAACGGUAGCUAAUACCGCAUAACGUCGCAAGACCAAAGUGGGGGACCUUCGGGCCUCACACCAUCGGAUGUGCCCAGAUGGGAUUAGCUAGUAGGUGGGGUAAUGGCUCACCUAGGCGACGAUCCCUAGCUGGUCUGAGAGGAUGACCAGCCACACUGGAACUGAGACACGGUCCAGACUCCUACGGGAGGCAGCAGUGGGGAAUAUUGCACAAUGGGCGCAAGCCUGAUGCAGCCAUGCCGCGUGUAUGAAGAAGGCCUUCGGGUUGUAAAGUACUUUCAGCGGGGAGGAAGGCGGUGAAGUUAAUAACUUCACCGAUUGACGUUACCCGCAGAAGAAGCACCGGCUAACUCCGUGCCAGCCGCCGCAGUAA
rnacentral:rRNA from 1 species